rnacentral:rRNA from 1 species
CAGUAGCCGCGGUAAUACGAAGGGGGCUAGCGUUGUUCGGAAUUACUGGGCGUAAAGCGCACGUAGGCGGACAUUUAAGUCAGUGGUGAAAUCCCGGGGCUCAACCCCGGAACUGCCUUUGAUACUGGGUGUCUAGAGUAUGGAAGAGGUGAGUGGAAUUCCGAGUGUAGAGGUGAAAUUCGUAGAUAUUCGGAGGAACACCAGUGGCGAAGGCGGCUCACUGGUCCAUUACUGACGCUGAGGUGCGAAAGCGUGGGGAGCAAACAGGAUUAGAUACCCCUGUAGUCCCUGUCUCUUAUAC